rnacentral:rRNA from 1 species
AUUGAACGCUGGCGGCAUGCCUUACACAUGCAAGUCGAACGGCAUCGCGGGAAAGCUUGCUUUCCUGGCGGCGAGUGGCGAACGGGUGAGUAACACAUCGGAACGUACCGGCUAGUGGGGGAUAACCCGACGAAAGACGGGCUAAUACCGCAUACGCUCUUCGGAGGAAAGCAGGGGACCUUUGGGCCUUGCGCUAGUCGAGCGGCCGAUGUCCGAUUAGCUAGUUGGUGGGGUAAAGGCCUACCAAGGCGACGAUCGGUAGCGGGUCUGAGAGGACGAUCCGCCACACUGGGACUGAGACACGGCCCAGACUCCUACGGGAGGCAGCAGUGGGGAAUCUUGGACAAUGGGGGCAACCCUGAUCCAGCAAUGCCGCGUGGGUGAAGAAGGCCUUCGGGUUGUAAAGCCCUUUCGGCAGGGAAGAAAUCGGCGGGGCGAAUAACCCUGCUGGAUGACGGUACCUGCAGAAGAAGCACCGGCUAACUACGUG